AGCGAACGCUGGCGGCAGGCUUAACACAUGCAAGUCGAGCGCCUGUAGCAAUACAGGAGCGGCAGACGGGAGAGUAACACGUGGGAACGUACCCUUUGGUUCGGAACAACCCAGGGAAACUUGGACUAAUACCGGAUAAGCCCUAACGGGGAAAGAUUUAUCGCCAAAGGAUCGGCCCGCGUCUGAUUAGCUAGUUGGUGAGGUAACGGCUCACCAAGGCGACGAUCAGUAGCUGGCUGAGAGGAUGAUCAGCCUCACUGGGACUGAGACACGGCCCAGACUCCUACGGGAGGCAGCAGUGGGGAAUAUUGGACAAUGGCGCAAGCCUGAUCCAGCCAUGCCGCGUGGGUGAUGAAGGCCUUAGGGUUGUAAAGCCCUUU
rnacentral:rRNA from 1 species